rnacentral:rRNA from 2 species
GGAUAUAUAGAAUCUUGUAAAAAAAUCAUGGUUGUAUCAGAACUCCGCAGUUAAGCGCGUGCUUGGGUGAGAGUAGUACUGGGAUAGGUGACUUCCCGGGAAGUCCUCAUUUUUUAUUUU